ACUCCUACGAGAGGCAGCAGUGGGGAAUAUUGCACAAUGGGGAAACCCUGAUGCAGCCAUGCCGCGUGUGUGAAGAAGGCCUUCGGUUGUAAAGCACUUUCAGUAGGGAGGAAGGUAGUGUAGUUAACACCUGCACUAUUUGACGUUACCUACAGAAGAAGCACCGGCUAACUCCGUGCCAGCAGCCGCGGUAAUACGGAGGGUGCGAGCGUUAAUCGGAAUUACUGGGCGUAAAGCGCAUGCAGGCGGCCUGUUAAGUCAGAUGUGAAAGCCCGGGGGCUUAACCUCGGAAUUGCAUUUGAAACUGGCAGGCUAGAGUCUUGUAGAGGGGGUAGAAUUUCAGGUGUAGCGGUGAAAUGCGUAGAGAUCUGAAGGAAUACCAGUGGCGAAGGCGGCCCCCUGGACAAAGACUGACGCUCAGAUGCGAAAGCUGGGGAGCAAACAGGAUUAGAUACCCUGGUG
rnacentral:rRNA from 1 species